UUCAGUUUAAUCAUCAAUUAAAAACUGAAUUGAUAAUUAAAUAUUUAUCUUCCGCGUUAUGUCACAACUUUCAAGCAUAAAUUGCAAACGAUGCAAGCGCUUUAGCAAUCUGAAUGCAAUGUUUUGAUGACUUCUCCUUGACCACUUAUCGAACAAUAGGUCAUAACGAUAGAAAUGUGCACCGAAAAAAACAUAUAAGUUGAAGUUGGAUUGGACUACAGCAUCAGUCGUAGUCUGGUUCCUAUUGAUUCGUAACUAAAAACAAAUAAUCAUGAAAAUUGCUGUAUUUUUGAUGGUUGCAUUCGUAAUCAUUUCAAAUGUUCAAGGUGACUGUCCUGGCUAUAAAGAGAAAAGGUUUUGCCCUUCAGAAACAACAGGAGUCGAGACAAAAAAAGAAACCUCUCAAACGGAUAAGACCAAGAUAAUUGUAACAGUCACUUGCAAAAAUGAGAGGGACAUAGUAAUCAAACAAUGUACUACUACCGAAGAAAGCCCGAACUCAGAUGUCACCAUUCAAAGCUACCAAUAUUCCCAACAUGUUCGUCACGUCCAUAAACAUGUGUCACAUAUAAACAAUAAUUAUAGCAAUGACGACGGCAAGUCAGACUCAGAUAUAGAAAGAUUGAGUUUUUAAAAAGUAAAAAUUUAUUAAACAAUUGUAUGGAAAUAAAGUCGACAUGUUAGAAA